GGGGCCCUUGCUUCGCGGCCCCAACAGCGUUGGCCAAUCAAUAAGCGGAGACAAUCAAUAAGCGGAGGAGCAUAUCAAUAAGCGGAGGAGCAUAUCAAUAAGCGGAGGAGCAUAUCAAUAAGAGGAGGAACCUCUGUCUGAUCUAAUGAAGUCUGAGUUGAUUGUAUCACAAUCAGUUAAAACUUUCAACAAUGGAUCUCUUGGUUCCGGCAUCGAUGAAGAACGCAGCGAAAUGCGAUAACUAGUGUGAAUUGCAGAAUUCCGUGAAUCAUCGAGUCUUUGAACGCACAUUGCGCCCCCUGGUAUUCCGGGGGGCAUGCCUGUCCGAGCGUCAUUGCUGCCCAUCAAGCACGGCUUGUGUGUUGGGUCGUCGUCCCCUCUUCGGGGGGGACGGGCCCCAAAGGCAGCGGCGGCACCGCGUCCGAUCCUCGAGCGUAUGGGGCUUUGUCACCCGCUCUGUAGGCCCGGCCGGCGCUUGCCGAACGCAAAACAACCAUUCUUUCCAGGUUGACCUCGGAUCAGGUAGGGAUACCCGCUGAACUUAAGCAUAUCAAUAAGCCGGAGGAAA
rnacentral:rRNA from 1 species